rnacentral:rRNA from 1 species
CCUACGGGUGGCAGCAGUGAGGAAUAUUGGUCAAUGGGCGUAAGCCUGAACCAGCAAAGUCGCGUGAGGGAUGAAGGUUCUAUGGAUCGUAAGCCUCUUUUAUAAGGGAGUAAGGUGCGGGACGUGUCCCGUUUUGUAUGUACCUUAUGAAUAAGGAUCGGCUAACUCCGUGCCAGCCGCCGCGGUAAUACGGAGGGUCCGAGCGUUAUCCGGAUUUAUUGGGUUUAAAGGGUGCGUAGGCGGCCUUUUAAGUCAGCGGUGAAAGUCUGUGGCUCAACCAUAGAAUUGCCGUUGAAACUGGGAGGCUUGAGUAUGUUUGAGGCAGGCGGAAUGCGUGGUGUAGCGGUGAAAUGCUUAGAUAUCACGCAGAACCCCGAUGGCGAAGGCAGCCUGCCAAGCCAUGACUGACGCUGAUGCACGAAAGCGUGGGGAGCAAACAGGAUUAGAUACCCUAGUAGUC